AAACUUUUAACAACGGAUCUCUUGGUUCUGGCAUCGAUGAAGAACGCAGCGAAAUGCGAUAAGUAAUGUGAAUUGCAGAAUUCAGUGAAUCAUCGAAUCUUUGAACGCACAUUGCGCCCUCUGGUAUUCCAGAGGGCAUGCCUGUUCGAGCGUCAUUU
rnacentral:rRNA from 2 species